rnacentral:antisense_RNA from 1 species
CAGGUAGAAGAGGCCCGUGGGUUUCUUGCUGAUGAGAUGGAUGCAGCCGACAUUGUCUGUGUAGCCGAUGUUGUGCCACGUGAUCCCCUCGCCCUGAUAUUCCUCCUGCAGGGGUGGCGCGGGGUCGAGAUCGACAGAUGCUAUGCUGUACAGGCUAGUCUGGACCUCCUGGCCUCAAGUGAUCCUCCUGCCUCAGUCUCCCGAGUAGCUGAGAUUACAGGAGGAAACGUAGACAUGGCGUGGCAUUCCGAGAUUCCUGUGAAAACGUUCUCCUACCUCUCAUCCUUCUCCUGAGACACCAGGCGAGACUUUUCAAGCAGAUAUUUCUCGACGACAGCUCUGUCAUUAAGAGAAAAACAGAAAGAAUAAAACAUUACAUGUUAGUAUUGUGUUAA